CUAGUUCAUUUUUCCUUUACAAACUGCAGCUGGAUAAUGCUCUGCCACCUCCCCAUCCCCAGUAUUUCCAACAUACUGAUUGUUCUGAAGACUGCAAACCUGACAAGUUUUUCAUUAUUCUUAGAGUGACUGUUCUUGUGUAUCCUGGUCAGUCAUGUUAGAGAUUCUUAGCCUCCACCCAGAACAGUUAGCAGAUCAAAGUAUUUGUAUAAAUGGCUGUAAGAUACAUGAUCUCCGUGAAGAAGCAGAUGACUUGGUGUGCUACCACCCAAAAACAUCUCUGGGUUCUGGAUUGCUUUCUUAGCCGUCAGCUCAUUCAGCUUAAAGACGGAUCUACAAGUUGGCCAGUUUACCCAGCUUUGGUUCUCAACAGAGUACCAAGCUGCCUGUGCCUUACAUACAGCCUUUAUUUCUUUCUGGGAUGGCAUCCCCUGGUGCUAAUGAUGGAGACAAGGAUUUGGAGAUAGCAACAACAAAAAAAAGGAGAUUUCAUUUAAUUGAUCAUGUUUGGUGUGGAGAUUACUGAUGAAGAGUUUGAGCUGCUACUUGACAGAAUCCCCCUUGAUGAAGAUGGAAAUGUCACAUACCCCCGGUUCAUGGCCAGGUUUGAUUCCUGACUGUCAUGCCAAUUGCGGCCAUAGAAGCCAGUGACGUUGCUGAGGUGCGUGCAAGUCUCUUGUAGAAUCUGGGACUGGAGAAAUGCAUUCCACCCGU